rnacentral:rRNA from 1 species
UACGAAGGGGGCGAGCGUUGUUCGGAUUUACUGGGCGUAAAGGGCGCGUAGGCGGCCUUGUCAGUCAGGCGUGAAAGCCCCGGGCUCAACCUGGGAACGGCGCUUGGGACGGCGAGGCUGGAGUUCGGGAGAGGAGAGUGGAAUUCCCAGUGUAGAGGUGAAAUUCGUAGAUAUUGGGAAGAACACCGGUGGCGAAGGCGGCUCUGUGGACCGACACUGACGCUGAGGCGCGAAAGCGUGGGGAGCAAACAGG